GCACAACGCGAAGAACCUUACCUAGGCUUGACAUGCAUCUCUAAGCACGUGAAAGCGUGUGACCCUUCGGGGAAUUUGCACAGGUGCUGCAUGGCCGUCGUCAGCUCGUGUCGUGAGAUGUUGGGUUAAGUCCCGCAACGAGCGCAACCCUUGUGACUAGUUGCCAGCACGUUAUGGUGGGAACUCUAGUCAGACUGCCCAGAUCAACUGGGAGGAAGGUGGGGACGACGUCAGGUCAGUAUGGCCCUUACGCCUAGGGCUGCACACGUAUUACAAUGCCCAGCACAAUGAGAACCGAGACCGCGAGGUGGAGGAAAUCUAAAAAACUGGGCCCAGUUCGGAUUGGAGGCUGCAACUCGCCUCCAUGAAGUUGGAAUCGCUAGUAAUGGCGCAUCAUCUACGGCGCCGUGAAUACGUUCCCGGGUCUUGUACACACCG
rnacentral:rRNA from 1 species